AUUGAACGUUGGCGGCAGGCCUAACACAUGCAAGUCGAGCGAGCGGCGGACGGGUGAGUAAUGUCUGGGAAACUGCCUGAUGGAGGGGGAUAACUACUGGAAACGGUAGCUAAUACCGCAUACCAUCAGAUGUGCCCAGAUGGGAUUAGCUAGUAGGUGGGGUAACGGCUCACCUAGGCGACGAUCCCUAGCUGGUCUGAGAGGAUGACCAGCCCAACUGGAACUGAGACACGUUCCAGACUCCUACGGGAGGCAGCAGUGGGGAAUAUUGCACAAUGGGCGCAAGCCUGAUGCAGCCAUGCCGCGUGUGUGAAGGAGGCCUUCGGGUUGUAAAGAACUUGCAGCGGGGGUGCGUGACCCGCAGAAGAAGCACCGGCUAACUCCGUGCCAGCCGCCGCGGUAAUAC
rnacentral:rRNA from 1 species